UCUAGGCUGCAUGGGACAAGGACAAGGGACUUUAGAGAAAUAAGACAUUUCAUCGAGACCUCAAAUUCGAUUUACAUUUUGCAGAUGAGGAAACUAUGGCACAGAGAAGUUGAGGAACUUCCCUGAGAUCACACAGCCUGCCCUCUCCCAUAUGAUGAUGAAAACUGAGCCGGGUUCCUGCAGAAGCUGUCCCUGGCUCUGAGUCCUGCCGUGUGCCUUGUUCACUCCACUGCCUGUGAAUUUUCCAACCAAGAACAACACAAAGGCCUCAGCCUUUCAAGGAGCCCUUGGGGUGUUUGAGGUCAUCUGCGGGUGUAUACUGAUCAUUUCUUACGCCUCUGGAAAGGUCCCGGGCUGCACCCUGACCCUCUCCACCCAGAUCCAUGGACGCACGCCUCGUUUAUUCACCGUUCCCCACCGCCGUAGAUCAGCACUCUCCCAGGGACGGACCUGGGUUUCAUCUCUCUAUCCCCCAUACGCAGCUCCUGUUUGCUUGUUUGUUGUUUGAAUAAAUGCUGCCUGCUCGGAUUUAUGGGAGGAUCAAGUUGCUCCUGGGAAGGAGAUCAAUGUAUAAUCUGUAUUUCCCAUUUCUGGUGUGAGAACCUAGAAGCUCCCUGACUAUCGUCCUCUUAACAAAUGGGGCUCACAGGGUGCCCUCUGUCUGGCAGAGCUUGCACUUCAAACCAAGGCUUCCUUUGUUUAGGCUUAAAAUCUCAAAUUCGUGUGUUCUGUCCCCUGCAAACUCCUAGGUGGGGUAAAAGGUCAUGACUCUGAGGUUCCCGGCUGAGCUCGCAGCUGUUUUCCGUGUUUCCCUCUCAUCUGUUUCAGAGCAGGAUGAGGUUCCUGCCUGCAGUGGGAAACUGACUCGGAACACCCAGGAUGCCCCGCAGCUCGGCCUUCAGCUGUUGUUAGAGCACAGCAGGUUGACGCAGUGCGGUUCUGGAGGAUGGAGUUUUUAUCGUGAUCCCAUAUGGACUGAGGAAGUGUGUGCAGUUGGGGACAGCCAGGCCUAAGAGCGGAGAAGUCCUGCCUUCCAGGCCCACACUGGACAGAGCAUUUGACCUGCUGGGCCUCAGUUUCCCCAUGUGUACUUUGGGGAUAAUGAUUCCUAGGCUGAGUCCUGCAGGACCUGUCUGGAGGAUCACAUUAGACAGUGAAUGCAUUUUUUAAAAAACUCUGGAAGAUACAGUGAAGCUGAGGUCUUAUGGCUGUUGCCUCACGGACUUGUGACAUGUAUUUGUCUUCCUCCUAAUGAGGUUGUCAUGACACUCUGCCCACCCCUGACUGAUCCCUGUUGAUUCCCACAGGAGCCCAGGAAUUCCUCUGGGAGCUUAUGCUGGUUUGAAUGGAGUCUCUCCCAACCGGACUGUCAACUCGUGUGUGACAGACGAUUCUUCAAAGUAAAACGAUGGUGUCUAAGGGACUCCAAGACAGGACAAGGAAGACUGGAGCUCUCCAGAAACAGAUGGGCCCAGGUCCGUAAGCUGAGGAUUCAGCCCCCUCCAUCCUGGCCCAGCAUAUGCCUGCCCAGCCAGAUGCUCCAUGAACACAGUUGAGGGGGUCCGGAGAGAGCACUGUGACCUGGAGCCCACACACGGCCUCAGCAGGCAAAGGAAGACCCAGAGACAACAUGGGAGGGGUUUGCAGUCACACACGCAGGCAGGGACCAGCUCAACCCUUCUUUAAUGUCAUUCAGGGAGGGGGCCAGGG